UACAGAGGUCUCAAGCGUUGUUCGGAUUCAUUGGGCGUAAAGGGUGCGUAGGUGGGCAGGUAAGUCAGGGGUGAAAGCCCGAGGCUCAACCUCGGAACUGCCUUCGAUACUGCGGGUCUCGAGUCCGGGAGAGGUGAGUGGAAUUCCUAGUGUAGAGGUGAAAUUCGUAGAUAUUAGGAAGAACACCAGUGGCGAAGGCGGCUCACUGGCCCGGUACUGACGCUGAGGCGCGAAAGCGUGGGGAGC
rnacentral:rRNA from 1 species